GCUGGGUGCAGUGGCGUGCGCCUGUAAUCCCAACUACUUAGGAGGCUGAGGCAGGAGAAUCACUUGAACUCGGGAGGCAGAGGUUUCAGUGAGCUGAGAUUGAGCCACUGCACUCUAGCCUGAGCAACACAGUGAGACUCUGUCUCAA
rnacentral:SRP_RNA from 1 species